GAGUUCAAGAGUACGUGAAACUGCUUAGAGGUUAAGCCCGAUGAACCUGAAUAUCCGUUAUGGAAAAUUCAUCACUAAUACUAUGAUAUUUAUCAUAUUAUAGAAAUAGUGUGCAAUUUUUCCAUAUAAGGACAUUGUAAUCUGUUAAUGUAAUAAAUAUUUAUCAUAAGAUCUUUUACUUAAGUUUAUUCAAAUUAGUUAUUUUCGGAUUUCUAACAUAGAAUAAAUGUAUUAGAUUUGAUAAAUCAUUGACAGAUUUAAUUAUAUAUAGUGCUUAAAUUUUUCUUUUAAAAUUUUACAAUGGUGAAUAAAUCUAUUGAUUUAUUUAUAUUGUAUGCGCUUAUAUGAUUAACAAUGCGAUAGAUUCAGGAUACCUUCGGGACCCGUCUUGAAACACGGACCAAGGAGUCUAACAUAUGUGCAAGUCAUUGGGUAUUUUUAAUAAAACCCAAUGGCAUAAUUAACUUAACUGUUUAAAUGGGAUUAGUUAUAUUUUAUUAUGAAAUAUAAUUCAAUCCCGGGGCGUUCUAUACAGUUAUGCAUAAUGAUAUUUAUAUUAUUAUGCCUCUACUAGAGC
rnacentral:rRNA from 1 species